UGGGGAAUCUUGCCCAAUGGGCGAAAGCCUGAGGCAGCAACGCCGCGUGGGGGAUGACGGCCUUCGGGUUGUAAACCGCUUUCAGCAGGGACGAAACUGACGGUACCUGCAGAAGAAGCUCCGGCCAACUACGUGCCAGCAGCCGCGGUAAGACGUAGGGAGCGAGCGUUGUCCGGAUUCAUUGGGCGUAAAGGGCCCGCAGGCGGCUUGGUAAGUCAGGUGUGAAAGCUCCAAGCUCAACUUGGAGAGGCCACCUGAUACUGCUAUGGCUAGAGUCCGGUAGGGGAGCAUGGAAUACCCAGUGUAGCGGUGAAAUGCUUAGAUAUUGGGUGGAACACCAGUGGCGAAGGCGGUGCUCUGGACCGGUACUGACGCUCAUGGGCGAAAGCGUGGGUAGCAAACAG
rnacentral:rRNA from 1 species